rnacentral:rRNA from 1 species
AUUGAACGCUGGCGGCAUGCUUUACACAUGCAAGUCGAACGGCAGCGCGUGCUUCGGCCUGGCGGCGAGUGGCGUACGGGUGAGUAAUGCAUCGGAACGUGCCCAGUAGUGGGGGAUAGCCCGGCGAAAGCCGGAUUAAUACCGCAUACGACCUGAGGGUGAAAGCGGGGGACCGAAAGGCCUCGCGCUAUUGGACCGGCCGAUUACGGAUUAGGUAGUUGGUGGGGUAAAGGCUUACCAAGGCGGCGAUCCGUAGCUGGUCUGAGAGGACGACCAGCCACACUGGGGCUGAGACGCGGCCCAGACUCCUAAGGGAGGCAGGAGUGGGGAAUGUUGGACAAGGAGGGGAACCCGGAACCAGGCAUGGCGCGUGAGGGAAGAAGGCCUUCGGGUUGUAAACCGCUUUUGUUCGGGAAGAAAUCCUCUGGGCUAAUACCCCGGGGAGAUGACGGUACCGGAAGAAUAAGCACCGGCUAACUACGUG